rnacentral:lncRNA from 1 species
GCAGUGUUGAUCAACAUUGUCAUCCAUAGAAGAGGUGAUUCAACAAAUUUGUGUCAAACGUGGCAUGACAGAUAAGCAAAAGUCCACCAGAAAAAAAUGUUUUCAACUUCACAAAACUACAACACCGAAACGAUAUGAAAUGACCAAGUGAAUAUCGGGCGAUUUACAAACUGAUACCAAUUCACAAAACACGGCGCAUUUUAGAUUCAUUCAAUUCCCAAAAAGUUUCGAUACAGUUAUCUCGAAUCGACCAAAUGGAGAACAACCUUCAACUUGUUCUUCUUCAUGUUCUUCUUCAAUUGGAACAAUUUCUCCAUCCAAGUCAUCUCUAAGAUUAACAAUUCCAUCACUAAUCAAUUUCUUCCUCCUCUUCACGACUCUAGAAUCAUCGAAAUCACUAUCUUCCAUCAAUUCAGUUGAUGGCCAUUCGAAACCUCUAGAAACCCUAGAUUUCACCUCUUUUUCUUCUCCUCUUCUAUCUAUGUUCUUCAUUUUCGAACGAAUUGCAGAUAGCAGAAUUGGGUCCAAGUAAUCUUCAAGCUUAUUCAUGUUCACUUUCCUCGUUUUGAUCGGAUCGCCACGAUUCCUUCAUUUUUAACAAAUUAAUUUGACAAAAAUUGCAAAUUUGAAUUCAAGAGAGAGAGAGAGAGAGAGAGAGAGAGAGAUUACUGAGAUCUAAUGGUGGAGAAUGGUGUUGCAGAAGAAUGAUGAGAAGAAGGUCGGACAAGGCGCUUUUGAAUCUCUUCAGUCGUAGCAAGUGGGUUUGAUGUCCCGCUAAACAUUUUCUCCGAUCAUAUCAAAGCGCGAAACUGUUUGAGCUAGAAAUGGGAAUUUGUAAGUUCUUUAUUUCACUUUCACCCCCCAUCUCAUCUGUUAAAUUACCUAAAUCUCCUUGGUUUAUUUUCUAAAUUAAUAAUUUUCGAUAAGUAUAUUUAAUAUUUGAUAAGUUAAUAAUCUUUCUAAAUUAAUAAAAUUGCAUAAGUCCGAAAGCUAUUAAUUUUUAGAGGUUCUACUAAUCUACUGUUCUACUUUCUGUUGAAUACCAGAUUUGCCCCCUUGGUUAUAUGACAAUAUGAA